UGGGGAAUAUUGGGCAAUGGGCGAAAGCCUGACCCAGCAACGCCGCGUGAGGGAAGAAGGUCUUCGGAUUGUAAACCUUUGUCCUAUGGGACGAAACAAAUGACGGUACCAUAGGAGGAAGCUCCGGCUAACUACGUGCCAGCAGCCGCGGUAAUACGUAGGGAGCAAGCGUUGUCCGGAAUUACUGGGCGUAAAGGGUGCGUAGGUGGCCAUGUAAGUUAGGUGUGAAAGACCGGGGCUUAACCCCGGGGCGGCACUUAAAACUGUGUGGCUUGAGUACAGGAGAGGGAAGUGGAAUUCCUAGUGUAGCGGUGAAAUGCGUAGAUAUUAGGAGGAACACCAGUGGCGAAGGCGACUUUCUGGACUGUAACUGACACUGAGGCACGAAAGCGUGGGGAGCAAACA
rnacentral:rRNA from 1 species